UGGCACCAGAGCGAGUUUUCAUAAGAUAUUUAAAAAUCUAGUCGACUCUGUUUUUCUUUGAUUUGACUAUAAACCUAGGGAUGGUUUCUUGUUUUCAAACUUUUGGUGAAGGUGCUUCAGAAAACAGACCACCUCUGUUUGCUGGUGAAAAUUAUCCUUUUUGGAAAAUCAGAAUGCAAAUCUUUCUUGAAUCGCGAGAUAAACGAAUUUUA
rnacentral:lncRNA from 1 species